rnacentral:lncRNA from 1 species
GAAAUCAAGUGAACACUAUUUCUAUUCAUUUUCUCUGCUCAACAACAAAAUCUUCCAAAUACUUUUGGAAUUCUUUCUUUCAUUAACUAGACAAUUUGGUGUCAGUCUUUCGGUUUCGAUGUGACACGUCAAAAUAUUGCGGUAAGGUCUAUAAUCUAUAAAUGAAGAACUAAAAUUUCAUUACUUUGUGUAUGAAAAUUCAAAACACGCGUUAGACAUACCUACAGUCAUAUUCUCAAUAUAAAUAAAUAAAUAAAGUAAAAUAUUGUUGGAUUAGAAUACUAUUAGUAGAAAGUUAAUAAUGUUCACCGUCACUUUUAUGGUCCCU